UUUCUACUCCCUCCGUCCGAAAAUACUUUUCAUCAAAAUGGAUAAAAAUAGAUGUAUCUAAAACUAAAAUACGUCUAGAUAUAUUUCCUUUUAUCCAUUUUGAUGACAAGUAUUUCCGGACGGAGGGAGUAUUUG
rnacentral:pre_miRNA from 1 species